GUAGGUGGCAAGCGUUGUCCGGAAUUAUUGGGCGUAAAGCGCGCGCAGGCGGGGUCCUUUAAGUCUGAUGUGAAAGCCCACGGGCUCAACCGUGGAGGGUCAUUGGAAACUGGGGGACUUGAGUACAGAAGAGGAAAGCGGAAUUCCAAGUGUAGCGGUGAAAUGCGUAGAGAUUGGAGGAACACCAGUGGCGAAGGCGGCUUUCUGGUCUGUAACUGACGCUGAGGCGCGAAAGCGUGGGGAGCAAACAGGAUUAGAUACCCUGGUAGUCCACGCCGUAAACGAUGAGUGCUAAGUGUUAGGGGGUUUCCGCCCCUUAGUGCUGCAGCUAACGCAUUAAGCACUCCGCCUGGGGAGUACGGCCGCAAAGGCUG
rnacentral:rRNA from 1 species